CACGCCGUAAACGAUGAGUACUAGGUGUAGGGGGUAUCGACUCCCCCUGUGCCGCAGUUAACACAAUAAGUACUCCGCCUGGGAAGUACGAUCGCAAGAUUAAAACUCAAAGGAAUUGACGGGGGCCCGCACAAGCAGCGGAGCAUGUGGUUUAAUUCGAAGCAACGCGAAGAACCUUACCUAGACUUGACAUCCCCUGCAUUACUCGUAACUGAGGAAGUCCUUCGGGACAGGGAGACAGGUGG
rnacentral:rRNA from 1 species